GACGAACCGUGCGAACGUUAUUCGGAAUCACUGGGCUUAAAGCGCGUGUAGGCGGGCCGCCGCGUCGGCUGCUGAAAUCCCCCGGCUCAACCGGGGAACGGGCACCGAUACGGGCGGCCUCGAGGGGGGUAGGGGGACCUGGAACUUCCGGUGGAGCGGUGAAAUGCGUUGAGAUCGGAAGGAACGCCCGUGGCGAAAGCGAGGUCCUGGACCCGUUUCUGACGCUGAGACGCGAAAGCCAGGGGAGCGAACGGG
rnacentral:rRNA from 1 species